CACGUAGGGCGCAAGCGUUGUCCGGAAUUAUUGGGCGUAAAGAGCUCGUAGGCGGUCUGUCGCGUCGGAUGUGAAAACCCAGGGCUCAACCCUGGGCCUGCAUUCGAUACGGGCAGACUAGAGUUCGGUAGGGGAGACUGGAAUUCCUGGUGUAGCGGUGAAAUGCGCAGAUAUCAGGAGGAACACCGGUGGCGAAGGCGGGUCUCUAGGCCGAUACUGACGCUGAGGAGCGAAAGCGUGGGGAGCGAACAGG
rnacentral:rRNA from 1 species